CGGAAGUAUGGAGCAACUGCUCUGAAUGUCUUUCGUCAUAACCAAAGGACAAGUACAGCGACAGACCACAACCCCAAUGGACAUUUUUUUUUUGUUCACGGCACAACCAGCCUGUAAGGGGUCGCUGUCCCUGCCCGUCCAAAUGGCGGCGUGGAACUCCCUCAGGGCCACCUCGGACACCUCGAUAAACCUCUCCGGGACCUGCAGUUGGCGAAAAAAAAAAAAAAAAAAAAAGAACGUCUUGGAUUCGACAGGAUUCGACCGUUAAAGUGAUCCACUUCUGCGCCCGGCUGCCACAGUGUUGUGACAUCAUGCGCCGAUGCCGCCGCCGCUGUCCGCUUGACGACUCCGCCCCGCCCCGCGUUGGCCUCGGCAACUCAGCGGGAAGAGGUGGCAAGUGAGCAUGCUGGAUUCUGCCCAACGUGCCGCUAUUGCACUUGGUAAAACCACACGUUCAUAAUGUCAUUCAGUGGAAUGUAAAGAAGUUUGUGCACCGUGCUUCAAUUCAUUGUGGCCGCCUUGGCCACCGAGGGGCAGUACGAGACAGUCAUACCAAAACAAACAAACAAGUGACAGCACGACUCUCAGGGUUCAGUAAGAUGCAUUAAUAUUAGUCUGAUCUUCCCGGGGGAUAAAGAAUAUUGCCGUGAGUAUUGUGCUAUUGUCUACAUGUGUUGCCACUCCAUUUGUCUUCAAAUAUCCACUGCUUGAAUGGUUAAAACCGCAACUAUUGAUGCUUUUCGUUAGCGCAUCAAUGACAUUUUCCACUAUGUGUUAGCAUUAAGCUCCCGCGUGGGGGCUGGGGGGGGGGCACUCCUAAGGCAACCUUGUGAUUGUUUUGAUGAUGGUAAACCACAUAUUCAUUCAUUAACUUCCCACCACUGAGAGAUCAGAUAUGCAGUAAAAUUCCAUCUUGCCCAAGUUUUAAGAAUUUUUUUUCCGCCCCCCCCCCCAACUUCAUGAUCUCUCUUCCGCCGUUUAUUUCGUCAAUGCCGCCCUUUACAUUUGCAUCUCCCGUUCGCCGUUUCCCCUCCGCUCAGUUGUCAUGGAACCAAGGCUGGCACACAAUAGAUGGACGCACGGUUAUAGAUGAAGGUGAGUUCAUGGGGAGGGAGGGGGGCACGAGACAACAAGGUCAACGUUGGCUCCGUCUGAUCUAAAUAACAAAUAACCGCGCUCUGCGACUGUGCGUGUGUGUGGGAGAAUGCAAGUGAUGGCUAAAACAGACGCCUAAAAAGCACAAAUGGCUGCCAGAAAAGUGCAGCCUGAAGCCGAAAAUUGUGCGUCAUUUCUCUCGGGUCUCACAUUAUGUAAACUACUCAAGCGCGAUCCCUCUCAUCCGACCAUGUGCACAUGCGGCCUCUUCAGCGUGCACUUAUAAAUACAGCAUCCCAGAGUGAGAGGUACUGGAUUACAACAAUCAGUAAAGAG